AUUGAUUUUGAAGGAAAAUGGCGACCUCUUUCAUGCAGAUUUAAAGAAGAGUAACAGUCCUGACUAUCAGUAGAGUUCCAGUCCAGUCCAUGAUGUGAUGCCCCUAGAGAUGAAAGCAUGGGGAACAAGCUGUGUGCCCCGCUCUGGAAGAAACAUCCAAGGGAUGGAGACUCACCGUUUAACACUAAGAAGGAUGCUCAUUU